UACGGUGAAUACGUUCCCGGACCUUGCACGCACCGCCCGUCAAGCCAUGGAAGCCGGGUGUACCUAAAGUCGGUAACCGUAAGGAGCCGCCUAGGGUAAAACUGGUGACUGGGGCU
rnacentral:rRNA from 1 species